UGAGGGAACUGACAGCUGGAGACGGUCUGCUGACCCCUCCACCUGCAGUUGACCAGUAGGUCCUUCCUUGAAGGGAGAUCUGGGGAACACAUCACCAGGUGUCCCACGGUAACAUGAGAGUGCAUAAACCUCAGGGUGCAGCUUGGUGAUUUCACCCAGAGCCCUGAUUGUGUUCAGGCGUCCGCACUCCUCCACAUAGCCCUGUGCUUCAGGGGCAGAUGGCCCAGCUCUGAGCUACUGAAGGGGCAUCCUGAUUGCCUAAUCCAAUCAUGGCUCCACAUCCCUCCGGCCGUGGACAUAGGACCCAGUUCUGGCUGCGGAAAUGCCAGAGGCUCCUGGGAAAGUCAUCUUUGUUCCUGCCAAAGAGAACAGGAAGAGGUGCUGCAUUUCUUACUUUGGACGUUGUGGGGCCUGAGGGCAAAUCCCAUACAGUGAGCACAGAGAUUUACCUAAAAGAAUCCGGGCCUUUGGUGAUGUUGGGUGCCAGUGUUCACAUUGUGCCUGAAGAACAACCUUCUGCUAGUCUAUAUUUCCUCCUGAUUUAAGCCAGUUUGAAUCAGGGUUUCAGUCCCUUUCAGUUGAAAGCAGCUAGUGACCUGGGUGAAUGACUGAAAGUGGACAUCCUUGGUGGACUGUGAUGUGCAGGGCCAGCUUGAGGAGUGUGUGACCUGUGCCACGACAUAAGGCCUCAAGCUUCGUCUUCAAGACACUAGGCCAGAUGUGUCAUCUGUGAAACCCACCAGCUUAACUGUAAAAUGGGAGAUUGAACCAUUCAUCAGCUCAUACCUCUGGAUACCUUCCAACACUGUUAAGAAUUCAGCUUUCCUCCCACCCACUUCGGAUGACAACAUUUCCUACCCUGCUUUGCUUGAGGCUGCACCCAUAAGACUAGUUCUGGCUCAAGGGCUAUGAACAGAAGUGAUAUGGGCAGUUCUGGGCCGAAGCAUUUAGCGUUAGUGUGUGACCCUCCAGCUUUCCCUUCCCUUGCUGCGACAAUUGUGGAGGCCAUACCUUUAGAUGGUGGAGCCACAAGAUGGAAACAGCCUGGAUCCUUGAGUCACCAGAUGGAAAAUACCUAUCCUGAAGAGUUUCCCAUCUCACAUUGGACAUGUGUAUGCACAAGAAAUACAAGCCUUUGCUGUGGUGAGUGAAGAACAACAUGGUGCACUUCAUCAGGAUGUUGGCAAAUCCCAGAGUCACAGGAAUGGAAAGGACCUUUGUGGUGAGAGCAAGUUGAAAGGGAAUGUGAGCAAAAAAAUUGAAAGGGCAAGAGAGCAUCUACCUGCAGAGGAAUGCUGGCUGCCAUAGGCCAGCGGCCCUCAUUACCUUGAAGACAUUCUCAAAUUUCAGCUUUGGGCCUCAGGAACUAGGUGCUGGCAGUUCCUCAGGGUUGACUGGCUGGGGGAGGCUGACACAUCAUAUAACUCAU
rnacentral:lncRNA from 1 species